rnacentral:rRNA from 1 species
GACGAACGCUGGCGGCGGGCUUAACACAUGCAAGUCGAACGGUGAAGCGCCUUCCUUUUUGGUGGGUGUGGAUGAGUGGCGAACGGGUGAGUAACACGUGAGUAACCUGCCCCCUUCUUCGGGAUAACCGCAUGAAAGUGUGGCUAAUACGGGAUAUUCUGGGUCUGUCGCAUGAUGGGUCUGGGAAAGAUAUUGUUUCGGUGGUGGAUGGGCUCGCCGCCUAUCAGCUUGUGGGUGGGGUGAUGGCCUACCAAGGCGGGGACGGGUAGCCGGCCUGGGCGGGUGGACGGGCACGUUGGAGCUGAGGAACGGCCAAGCCUGCUCCGGGAGGCAGCAGUGGGGACUACUGGACGCUGGGGGGAGGAAUGAUACAGCGACGCCGAGUGCGGGAUGGAGGCCUUCGGGUUGUGAACCUAUUUCGCCAGUGAUGCAGGCCUGUCUCGUCUGUGGGUGGGUUGACGGUAGCUGGAUAAGAAGCGCCGGCUAACUACGUG